rnacentral:rRNA from 1 species
AGAGCGAACGCUGGCGGCAGGCUUAACACAUGCAAGUCGAGCGGGCGUAGCAAUACGUCAGCGGCAGACGGGUGAGUAACGCGUGGGAACAUACCUUUUGGUUCGGAACAACCCAGGGAAACUUGGGCUAAUACCGGAUAAGCCCUUACGGGGGAAAGAUUUAUCGCCGAAAGAUUGGCCCGCGUCUGAUUAGCUAGUUGGUGAGGUAACUGCUCACCAAGGCGACGAUCAGUAGCUGGUCUGAGAGGAUGAUCAGCCACAUUGGGACUGAGACACGGCCCAAACUCCUACGGGAGGCAGCAGUGGGGAAUAUUGGACAAUGGGCGCAAGCCUGAUCCAGCCAUGCCGCGUGAGUGAUGAAGGCCCUAGGGUUGUAAAGCUCUUUGUGCGGGAAGAUAAUGACGGUACCGCAAGAAUAAGCCCCGGCUAACUUCGCGCCAGCAGCCGC